AACGAACGCUGGCGGCAGGCUUAACACAUGCAAGUCGAGCGCCCCGCAAGGGGAGCGGCAGACGAGUGAGUAACGCGUGGGAACGUACCUUUUGGUUCGGAACAACUCCGGGAAACUGGAGCUAAUACCGGAUAAGCCCUAACGGGGAAAGAUUUAUCGCCGAAAGAUCGGCCCGCGUCUGAUUAGCUAGUUGGUGAGGUAACGGCUCACCAAGGCGACGAUCAGUAGCUGGUCUGAGAGGAUGAUCAGCCACACUGGGACUGAGACACGGCCCAGACUCCUACGGGAGGCAGCAGUGGGGAAUAUUGGACAAUGGGCGCAAGCCUGAUCCAGCCAUGCCGCGUGAGUGAUGAAGGCCUUAGGGUUGUAAAGCUCUUUUGUCCGGGAAGAUAAUGACUGUACCGGAAGAAUAAGCCCCGGCUAACUUCGUG
rnacentral:rRNA from 1 species